UACACUUAGUGAGUUGCUUCCUCCCUUCUCAUACUGCUGAGUCUACAUUUAAGCAUUCAUUCUUCACAGGAGGACCGACACGACAGAUUGACCUAUCCGCUGAUGCGAAUUGACAAAGAGGACUCAAAGGCCAUAACUGCGGUGUUGGAGAACCACUUAUUUGAGGUGACGGACGGAUUGGGCACUUCAUUGAUUUGAAGUACGAUAUAAAGUCUGCCUUGGCUUUGGAUCUCAUCACAAAUGCAUUCUGUCAGUUCCUCAAGGCUCUUCUCACAUCAUGUGGUGACAUUUGCGUCCAGUGUUAUAUAGCCCUGUCACACGGAAGAGGUGGAGGAGACCAGCUUACUAAAAAGAAACACUGCCUCUAUUGCUGUCAUCAACAGCCAGCUGGCUGAAAUCAAGCCACCACACAGCUCCACGAGACUCCCAAGGGCACUGAGCACACGCCUAUUCUGGAAGGCUUCCGAAUGGCGCCACUGGCUGCUGUACCACUCGCUUCCCUGCAUGUACAGGGUCCUUCUGGACCAAUACUGGCCGUACAUAAAGAAGCUGGUGGAGGCCGUCCAUGCACUUUUGAGGGACACCGUAACUCCAGCAUCCAUUGAUGUUGCACGCGAGUUCUCCCCCUUCGGUUUCUUUGUGUCCUGCUUCGGGCCAGCUUUAAUAAUGUCAUAUUGUGCUUUCAGAGAAACUCCUCUGGACCUUUGUGGGCAUGACAGGGAGGCUGUAUGGAGCUCCAGCAAUGACGUUCAGCCUGCACCAGUUACUCCACCUAGCGGAAGCAGUGCAGCAACUGGGGCCAUUG
rnacentral:lncRNA from 1 species